AUUGCUGUAAUGCGGGUGAUAGUUCUGAAACAUGAAUCCGCGCGUCUGGUCGAUGCAGUGGAACAACGGGUUCCAUGUAUACAUCGCCAGAAUGUAGCUUGGCGUGGAAUUGGCCAGCGUCAUCUUGCCCGAAAAGAUCAUAUUCGCGCGG
rnacentral:ncRNA from 1 species